rnacentral:lncRNA from 1 species
AGAGUCCGUUGCGGCUGCCGCCCCGACGCCCGCGCAUCCCCGCUCGCCGCGCCCGCCGCCGCGAUGUCCGGGGCCGGCCUAGCCGCGGUGGUGAGCUGCCUGCGCCCGCAGCCCGGCGAGGAGCCGCAGACCCAUGAGACGUUACUAUUUUUAUAACCACUAGACAACGCAGGUUGCCGCAUACUUCUUUAUUUGUGUAGACCUCGCUCUUGCCCUGUUUGAAGAGUCUGAGUUGCUUCCCCUGCCUUUCUUGAUAUUUGGGUUCUUGGUCUGGACCAUGGUAGCCGCCACCCACAUAGUAUACCCCUUGCUGCAAGGAUGGGUGAUGUAUGUCUCACUCACCUCGUUUCUCAUCUCCUUGAUGUUCCUGUUGUCUUACUUGUUUGGAUUUUACAAAAGAUUUGAAUCCUGGAGAGUUCUGGACAGCCUGUACCACGGGACCACUGGCAUCCUGUACAUGAGCGCUGCCGUCCUACAAGUACAUGCCACGAUUGUUUCUGAGAAACUGCUGGACCCAAGAAUUUACUACAUUA